GACGAACGCUGGCGGCGUGCUUAACACAUGCAAGUCGAACGGAAAGGCCCCUUCGGGGGUACUCGAGUGGCGAACGGGUGAGUAACACGUGAGUAACCUGCCCUUGACUUCGGGAUAACUUCAGGAAACUGGGGCUAAUACCGGAUAGGAAUCCUUGCUGCAUGGUGGGGGUUGGAAAGCUUCGGCGGUUUUGGAUGGACUCGCGGCUUAUCAGCUUGUUGGUGGGGUAGUGGCUUACCAAGGCUUUGACGGGUAGCCGGCCUGAGAGGGCGACCGGCCACAUUGGGACUGAGAUACGGCCCAGACUCCUACGGGAGGCAGCAGUGGGGAAUAUUGCACAAUGGGCGGAAGCCUGAUGCAGCAACGCCGCGUGCGGGAUGACGGCCUUCGGGUUGAAAACCGCUUUCAGCAGGGGCGAAGCUUGUGGUGACGGUACCUGCAGAAGAAGCACCGGCUAACUACGUG
rnacentral:rRNA from 1 species